AGAGUUUGAUCAUGGCUCAGGAUGAACGCUAGCUACAGGCUUAACACAUGCGAAGUCGAGGGGAAACGAUAUUGGAAGUCUUGCUUCCGAUAGGCGUCGACCGGCGUACGGGUGAGUAACGCGUAUCCAACCUGCCCACCGACUUGGGGGUAACCUUGACGAAAGUAAGACUAAUACCCAAUGACGUCUCUAGAAGACAUCUGAAAGAGAUUAAAGAUUUAUCGGUGAUGGAUGGGGAUGCGUCUGAUUAGCUUGUUGGCGGGGUAACGGCCCACCAAGGCGACGAUCAGUAGGGGUUCUGAGAGGAAGGCCCCCCACAUUGGAACUGAGACACGGUCCAAACUCCUACGGGAGGCAGCA
rnacentral:rRNA from 1 species